rnacentral:rRNA from 1 species
UACGUAGGGUGCAAGCGUUGUCCGGAAUUAUUGGGCGUAAAGAGCUCGUAGGCGGUCUGUCGCGUCUGCUGUGAAAACUCAGGGCUUAACCCUGAGCUUGCAGUGGGUACGGGCAGACUAGAGUGGCGGUAGGGGAGACUGGAAUUCCUGGUGUAGCGGUGAAAUGCGCAGAUAUCAGGAGGGAACACCGGUGGCCGAAGGCG